rnacentral:other from 1 species
GCUGGGCUGCCUGGUGCGUGCGAGGAGUGUAUUCCCGGGCCCAUACGACUCCCUAGGGAGCUGUCCCUGACCGGGUCCCUGGACCCGGACACACGGCGCCCACCUACUUUAGUAGGUGUCCCGGGAUCGAAAUCUCCACGGCCGAGGUGGCUCAGCA